rnacentral:rRNA from 1 species
AAGCGGUGGAUGAUGUGGUUAAUUCGAUGCAACGCGAAGACUUACCUGGGUUGACAUAUAGGUUGUAGGGAACUGAAAAGGGACCGACCCUUCGGGGAGCCUAUACAGGUGUUGCAUGGCUGUCGUCAGCUCGUGUCGUGAGAUGUUCGGUUAAGUCCGCUAACGAGCGCAACCCUCGUCGUAUGUUAUAUGUGUCAUACGAGACUGCCGGUAAAAGCCGGAGGAAGGUGAGGAUGAUGUCAAGUCAGCAUGACCUUUAUAUCCAGGGCUACACACACCGCUACAAUGGUCUGUACAAUGGGUAGCCAAGCCGCGAGGCGGAGCCAAUCCUGAAAGCAGGCCUCAGUUCAGAUUGCAGUCUGCAACUCGACUGCAUGAAGCCGGAGUUGCUAGUAACCGCAGGUCAGCAAUACUGCGGUGAAUACGUUCCCGGGUCUU